UUAGAUAAUACUGCAGUAGACAUGGGUAUACCUAAUUUCACUAUAAUUUUUCAAUCUCAACAAAAAUGGAAAAAUAUGCUAGUAUACUAUCCUGUACUUAACAAGUUUCCGUAAUGUUAUAAUGAAAUGAAAAUAUAGAACUAGUACUACUCAGUAAACAGCUAGCUAACUCUCAGAAUAAUUGAUCCACCAUUGCAAAACGUAACUCUCCCUCUACUUUUACAAGAUUUUGCCGUUUAACACAGUAUAUUCUCAAAAAGAUACAGUAGCAAGAAAAUUAACCUGUAAAUCUAUGGACAUGUCAC
rnacentral:lncRNA from 1 species